UCCGAUUAAAUGAUGACUUCAUAGUUCAGCUGAAUGUUUUGAUGUAUACUCUGCUUAUGUCUUUCGCUCCUAUCUGAUAAUCGUA